rnacentral:rRNA from 1 species
CUGCGGCAGACUAACACAUGCAAGUCGAGCGAGAUCUUCGGAUCUAGCGGCGGACGGGUGAGUAACGCGUGGGAACGUACCCUCUUCUGCGGGAUAGCCACUGGAAACGGUGAGUAAUACCGCAUACGCCCUUCGGGGGAAAGAUUUAUCGGAGGAGGAUCGGCCCGCGUUGGAUUAGGUAGUUGGUGGGGUAAUGGCCUACCAAGCCUACGAUCCAUAGCUGGUUUUAGAGGAUGAUCAGCCACACUGGGACUGAGACACGGCCCAGACUCCUACGGGAGGCAGCAGUGGGGAAUCUUAGACAAUGGGCGCAAGCCUGAUCUAGCCAUGCCGCGUGAGUGACGAAGGCCUUAGGGUCGUAAAGCUCUUUCGCCUGUGAUGAUAAUGACAGUAGCAGGUAAAGAAACCCCGGCUAACUCCGUGCCAGCAGCCGCGGUAAUACGGAGGGGGUUAGCGUUGUUCGGAAUUACUGGGCGUAAAGCGCACGUAGGCGGAUUGGAAAGUAUGGGGUGAAAUCCCAGGGCUCAACCCUGGAACGGCCUCAUAAACUUCCAGUCUGGAGUUCGAGAGAGGUGAGUGGAAUUCCGAGUGUAGAGGUGAAAUUCGUAGAUAUUCGGAGGAACACCAGUGGCGAAGGCGGCUCACUGGCUCGAUACUGACGCUGAGGUGCGAAAGUGUGGGGAGCAAACAGGAUUAGAUACCCUGGUAGU